rnacentral:rRNA from 1 species
GGACUACCGGGGUUUCUAAUCCUGUUCGCUACCCACGCUUUCGCGCCUCAGCGUCAGUAUUAUGCCAGGUGGCUGCCUUCGCCAUCGACGUUCCUUCCGAUCUCUACGCAUUUCACCGCUACACCGGAAAUUCCGCCACCCUCUCAUAUACUCCAGUUUCAUAGUUUGCGAUGCUCUUCCCAGGUUAAGCCCGGGGCUUUCACAUCACACUCAUGCUACCGCCUACGCGCCCUUUACGCCCAGUAAUUCCGAUUAACGCUCGCACCCUCUGUAUUACCGCGGCUGCUGGCAC